rnacentral:rRNA from 1 species
AGAGCGGCGUACGGGUGCGGAACACGUGUGCACGUACUUUAUCUGGGGGAAUUAGCCUUUUCGAAAGGAAGAUUAAUACCCCAUAAUAUGUUGAAUGGCAUCAUUCGACAUUGAAAACUCCGGUGGAUAGAGAUGGGCACCGGCCCGCAAAAAAAGAAUUAGAUAGUUGGUGAGGUAACGGCUCACCAAGUCUACGAUCUUUAGGGGGCCUGAGAGGGUGAUCCCCCACACUGGUACUGGGACACGGACCAGACUCCUACGGGAGGCAGCAGUGAGGAAUAUUGGACAAUGGGUGAGAGCCUGAUCCAGCCAUCCCGCGUGAAGGACGACUGCCCUAUGGGUUGUAAACUUCUUUUGUAUAGGGAUAAACCUACCCUCGUUGAGGGUAGCUGAAGGUACUACACGAAUAAGCACCGGCUUAACUUCCGGUGCCAGCAGCCGCGGUAAUACGGAGGGUGCAAGCGUUAUCCGGAUUUAUUGGGUUUAAAAGGGUCCGUAGGCCGGGAUCUGGUAAAGUCCAGUGGGUGGAAAUUCUUCACAGUUUAACUUGUGGAAAACUGCCAUUUGGAAUACUGGAGGUNCUUGGAAGUGGUUGGUUGA